GUGGGGAAUAUUGGACAAUGGGCGCAAGCCUGAUCCAGCCAUGCCGCGUGAGUGACGAAGGCCUUAGGGUUGUAAAGCUCUUUUGGCGGGGACGAUAAUGACGGUACCCGCAGAAUAAGCCCCGGCUAACUUCGUGCCAGCAGCCGCGGUAAUACGAAGGGGGCUAGCGUUGUUCGGAAUCACUGGGCGUAAAGCGCACGUAGGCGGAUUUGUUAGUCAGGGGUGAAAUCCCGGGGCUCAACCUCGGAACUGCCUUUGAUACUGCAAGUCUCGAGUCCGGAAGAGGUGAGUGGAAUUCCUAGUGUAGAGGUGAAAUUCGUAGAUAUUAGGAAGAACACCAGUGGCGAAGGCGGCUCACUGGUCCGGUACUGACGCUGAGGUGCGAAAGCGUGGGGAGCAAACAGGAUUAGAAACCCCUGUAGUCC
rnacentral:rRNA from 1 species